GAGGGGUGCAAACGUUAUUCGGAUUUACUGGGCGUAAAGGGUGUGUAGACGGCAUAUUAAGUUCGUUGUUAAAUCUUCCGGCCUAACCGGAAGCUUGCGAUGGAAACUGAUAAGCUUGAGGAUGGAAGAGAGAAGCGGAAUUCUCGGAGUAGCGGUAAAAUGCGUAGAUCUCGAGAGGAACACCGAUGGCGAAGGCAGCUUCUUGGUCCAUUCCUGACGUUGAGACACGAAAGCGUGGGUAGCAAACAGGAUUAGAUACCCUGGUAGUCCACGCCGUAAACGAUGAUCACUGGAUGUCGGUUUCGCUUUGCGAAAUCGGUAUCGAAGCUAACGCGUUAAGUGAUCCGCCUGGGAAGUACGGUCGCAAGAUUA
rnacentral:rRNA from 1 species